CGUGUCGUGAGAUGUUGGGUUAAGUCCCGCAACGAGCGCAACCCUUAUUACUAGUUGCCAUCAUUAAGUUGGGCACUCUAGUGAGACUGCCGGUGAUAAACCGGAGGAAGGUGGGGAUGACGUCAAAUCAUCAUGCCCCUUAUGACCUGGGCUACACACGUGCUACAAUGGAUGGUACAACGAGUCGCCAACCCGCGAGGGUGCGCUAAUCUCUUAAAACCAUUCUCAGUUCGGAUUGCAGGCUGCAACUCGCCUGCAUGAAGUCGGAAUCGCUAGUAAUCGCGGAUCAGCACGCCGCGGUGAAUACGUUCCCGGGCCUUGUACACACCGCCCGUCACACCACGGAAGUUGGGAGUACCCAAAGUAGGUUGCCUAACCGCAAGGAGGGCGCUUCCUAAGGUAAGACCGAUGA
rnacentral:rRNA from 1 species